rnacentral:lncRNA from 1 species
GGGGGUGUCUGGGAGCCGUUCAUGCUAAAUUGGAUGAAGACGGCAGUACUGAAGCUGAGGAGAUCCGAGAGUGGAGAUGUCACGUCCUUUCACCAGGAUCUGUCUGAAGGCCAAAUAGAGAAGGAAUGCAGUCAUGGAAUGUUAAAGUAUGCUACAAAGAAAGGGUAUAGUGGCUACAAGGCUACAUUCAGGUGCUUACUAGUUUUAUGUGGCGAAAUACCUGACAAGGGCAGUGAAUUUAUUAGACACAAAGCUUUACUUGAUUUGUAGUGUCGUUUGAGAGUAACGUUAAAAUGUUCAAAUCGAGUAGCUGAUUUGGAUCUAGGGGCAGAGACGGACUUGAUUUGAUAUAUUUGAAUGUAUAAUACUUAAUUGUAAUUAGUGGCAAAGCUAGAAUACAUCAUCGUCACCAUCUCCACCAUCACCACCACCUUUACCCUCCUCUUCAUCGUUAUCCUCAAAGCUAAUGGGCGGACCAGAAACCCAGUGUCAUCACUCGGGUCUGUAACUGCCAUUUUCCGCUGGGAAAGAGAAAUGAACCUGUACUUACCAGAAAAGGUAGCUCAUCCACCAUGGCAGAAGAGGCAGACCCAGACUGUUGAUUCGAAAACAAUAACAAAACAUUUGGCAUGAGGAUUGGGUGUUGAGGGACCACUUGUCACAUUGUCCAAGUCCAACAGGAGUGCAUCCCUAAGGCCAUCCAGCGCAUGGACAUCCUGUGUCAGUGUGAUCCGACUGCGAGCGUCCAGUUGUGGAGACUACAGCACAUCGAGCCUGCGGACGGACAGAACGUCAGGCUCACCUCACAAGAAGCAGUGCAUGAUCAACGCCACCCUCAGCGAGGAGAUCUGCUGGAAGUGAUGUACUCUCUCGCUCUCUCUCUCUUAUCGGGAUCGUGGUGAAGGAUUUGCACCCUGUGAUGUGAUCGCAUGCACACUGUGUAGAGAACACUCUACAAAGGCCUCCAAGGGGAACUGCCUAACCUGUCUGUCCUGAAUGCGUCCGAGGUAUACAAGGACUUUCCCAUUGAUCACCACAAUGCAGUGUACACCACAAUGUACUUAGGGAAGACUGCCACGUCCGAGGGCAGAGCUCAGUGGAGAACCUGGCAGACCGAAUUAUCAAAGGAACCCCGGCAGCGAUGAAGAGGGGUCUGGCCAUGGAGCCUGCUGCUGUCCGCUGAUCUACGAUCCCAUUGAGAGCCCACUGUUUGGCCUACUGGAGAUCAUGUGUCCAAACUCCAAGAGUUACGUUGACUGCCCCUACCUGAAAGCUCCAGUGUGGCAAACUGGAGCUAAAGCCACAGCGCACCUACUACUGGCCGGUACAAGGUCAGAUGCUAAUAACAUGGCUGGAGUGGUGCGACUUCGUUGAAGAGGGCAUGCUAAUCCAGCGCAUCUACAAAGGCAGUGGGGUGGCAAACACCAUCAGGCAAAAGGCAGACCAUUUCUUUUUUCAUUUUUGUCUCGAUAUCUACAUGAAAUGAUUUACUUCAAACAUGGCUAUGCCUGAGGGAUGUACAGGGAAACUUGUUUUGAUGUACAAUUUUGGAGUGAAUCCUAUUUUCAUUCAUGUUCGUUCAUCAUUGAUGUUGACUGCUUAAACAUGUUAAACUGAUGUCUUUACUCAUUGAACACAUUGUGGAGCAUACAGGUUACUUGUGUGUUCCAAUUUUUCUAAACUGGUUGCCAGGUGAAGAGGUGUGACACAAGGGAUAAUGCAACUGUCAUGUCUGCUCCCGCUCUUCCCUCCCCCUGGCGCUUGAGGGCGCAAGGUUUCCCUGCAUCACGCACUCCUGCCAUCCAUCAUGCACACCUGCCUUCCCUCGUCACGCACAUCAGCGUUAUUGGACUCACCUGGACUCACUUAUCACCUGUUAAUUACCUCCCCUAUAUUUGUCAGUUCCCCAGCUCUGUUCCCCGCUGCUGCAUUGUGUUGUUUUUGUCUUUAGUAUUAGUUUGCUGACGCUGUUCCUGUCUCGUUCCAUGUCCGUCUUUAUUAAAUGUUUUACUCCCCGUACUUGCUUCGUCUCUCCAGCGUCAAUUCCAUGUGACAGCAACAAUAUGAGGUUUAAGGCAAACAAUAGCCUUAAGGCAAACAAUAGCCAUAGUAUUUAAUUAGAACUUAAUGUAGG